CCUACGGGAGGCAGCAGUGAGGAAUAUUGGUCAAUGGGCGCGAGCCUGAACCAGCCAAGUCGCGUGAGGGAUGACGGCCCUACGGGUUGUAAACCUCUUUUGUCGGGGAGCAAAUUCCGCCACGUGUGGCGGAGUCGAGAGUACCCGAAGAAAAAGCAUCGGCUAACUCCGUGCCAGCAGCCGCGGUAAUACGGAGGAUGCGAGCGUUAUCCGGAUUUAUUGGGUUUAAAGGGUGCGUAGGCGGGCUUUUAAGUCAGCGGUAAAAAUUCGGGGCUCAGCCCCGUCCGGCCGUUGAAACUGGGGGC
rnacentral:rRNA from 1 species